rnacentral:piRNA from 1 species
UGUACAAGGAGAGUUGCCAGGUC